rnacentral:rRNA from 1 species
AAUCAACGCUGGCGGCGUGCCUAACACAUGCAAGUCGAACGAGAAAGUGGUAGCAAUACCAUGAGUAAAGUGGCGCACGGGUGAGUAACACGUGACUAACCUACCCUGGAGUGGGGGAUAACCGAGGGAAACCCCAGCUAAUACCGCAUAAUACCCACGGGUCAAAGGAGCAAUUCGCUUCAGGAGGGGGUCGCGGCCGAUUAGUUAGUUGGCGGGGUAAUGGCCCACCAAGACUGUGAUCGGUAUCCGGCCUGAGAGGGCGCACGGACACACUGGAACUGAAACACGGUCCAGACUCCUACGGGAGGCAGCAGUGGGGAAUUUUGCGCAAUGGGGGAAACCCUGACGCAGCAACGCCGCGUGGAGGAUGAAGUACUUCGGUACGUAAACUCCUUUCGAUCGGGACGAUAAUGACGGUACCGAGAGAAGAAGCCCCGGCUAACUUCGUGCCAGCAGCCGCGGUAAUACGAGGGGGGCGAGCGUUGUUCGGAAUUAUUGGGCGUAAAGGGUGCGUAGGCGGUUUGGUAAGUCUUGUGUGAAAUCUAUGGGCUCAACUCAUAGUCUGCACGAGAAACUGCCGGGCUUGAGUAUGGGAGAGGUGAGUGGAAUUCCUGGUGUAGCGGUGAAAUGCGUAGAUAUCAGGAGGAACACCUGUGGCGAAAGCGGCUCACUGGACCAUAACUGACGCUGAUGCACGAAAGCUAGGGGAGCAAACAGGAUUAGAUACCCUGGUAGUCCUAGCCCUAA